rnacentral:rRNA from 1 species
UACAGAGGGGGCAAGCGUUGUUCGGAAUUACUGGGCGUAAAGGGCGCGUAGGCGGCCCUCUAAGUCGAACGUGAAAUCCCUGGGCUCAACCCAGGAACUGCGUCCGAGACUGGGGGGCUAGAAUCCGGGAGAGGGAUGUGGAAUUCCAGGUGUAGCGGUGAAAUGCGUAGAUAUCUGGAGGAACACCGGUGGCGAAGGCGACAUCCUGGACCGGUAUUGACGCUGAGGCGCGAAAGCCAGGGGAGCAAACGGG